GAGAGCCUUGAAGUUCCUGAAG
rnacentral:misc_RNA from 1 species